UUCGGAACGGAUCGGAGCGGCAACUCCACCGACCCGAAUCCAUUUGCAUCCGGAAUCCUAAACGGAGCCUACGUGGCAAAAGCGCUUCUUAGGAAAUGGCUCCAGUCAAUUUGAAAAGGUCAAACUUGCAAACUCUUAACGAAAAAACCCAAUUAAAAAAAAAAAGACUCCAAUUUUGACCAAUUGACUUUGAAAUUCCCCUUCUCCUCGAACCCUAUACGUAUUUAUAUACCCACCCAAUCCCAAGAUCAAACACCCAAUUACAUUUGCUUUUAUUUGGAUCGAACAAAAAAGGAAAAAUCCCCCAAAAAAAGAGAAAAAUUGAGGAAUACGAUGAAUUGGAUUAGUCGAAAGGUUCAUCUCUACAACGUGACCAUGGGCCUCUACAUGCUCGAUUGGUGGGAGCGCUACCUCUUCAAUGUAUUGAUCCUUGUUCUGCUGUGGUUCAUUUGCUACAAUGGAUCAAGAUUUGCUGCCGAGUUCUACGACAGCCAUGCGAAGACAAAUUUUGGUUGGCGGCACUUCGCCAAUGGGGGCAGUAUAACAUCCUGAUCAAUAACAAGAACCCGCCGAGAGAUAGUAGAGGUUUUAAAAGUCCAUGUUCAUCGUCGAUCAUCGCGUUUCAAACCUCUUUUCUAUGUAAUUACCUCUAGUUUGUAAGCUUAUUUGUCAAAAGACGCCACGCCGCAUGAGAUAUUCAUGCUAUGUUUGUAAUCAGAAUGUCAGAUCUUAAAGGAAACUCUAUCAAAUUGUAAUCUCCUGAGCAUACUAUUUACAACACAUUACAGCU